UAAUACGAAGGGCCCUAGCGUUGCGCGGAAUCACUGGGCUUAAAGCGUACGCAGGCGGGCAUGCAGGCGUUUUGUGAAAUACCUCGGCUCAACCGAGGAAUUGCUUGACGAACCGCAUGCCUUGAGGCAGGUAGGGGCCGUCGGAACGAUAGGUGGAGUGGUGAAAUGCGUUGAUAUCUAUCGGAACGCCGAAGGAGAAAUCAGGCGGCUGGGCCUGUCCUGACGCUCAGGUACGAAAGCGUGGGGAGCGAACGGGAUUAGAUACCCCGGUAGUCCACGCUGUAAACGAUGUGCACUAGAUCGAGGGGGUUCUGACACCGCUCUCGGUCGAAGCGAAAGUGUUAAGUGCACCGCCUGGGGAGUACGGUCGCAAGGCUA
rnacentral:rRNA from 1 species